UACGUAGGGGGCAAGCGUUGUCCGGAUUUAUUGGGCGUAAAGAGCGUGUAGGCGGCCAUACAGGUCAGCUGUGAAAACUCGAGGCUCAACCUCGAGACGUCGGUUGAAACCACCUGGCUAGAGUCCGGAAGAGGAGAGUGGAAUUCCUGGUGUAGCGGUGAAAUGCGCAGAUAUCAGGAAGAACACCCGUGGCGAAGGCGGCUCUCUGGGACGGUACUGACGCUGAGACGCGAAAGCGUGGGGAGCGAACAGG
rnacentral:rRNA from 1 species